rnacentral:rRNA from 1 species
UACGUAGGGACCGAGCGUUGUCCGGAUUCAUUGGGCGUAAAGAGCUCGUAGGCGGCCACUCAAGUCGAAUGUGAAACCUCGAGGCUCAACCUCGAGCCUGCAUUCGAUACUGGGCGGCUAGAGUCUGGUAGGGGGAUCUGGAAUUCCUGGUGUAGCGGUGGAAUGCGCAGAUAUCAGGUGGAACACCAGUGGCGAAGGCGGUGUUCUGGGCCAGUACUGACGCUGAUGCGCGAAAGCGUGGGGAGCGAACAGG